AAUGGGUUAAUGGUUAUGUUUAGUCGUCUAGAUUCUUCUUUUAACAGAUGUGGCCGCUCAGAGAAUAGAAUUAGUAACAUGCAAAGAAGGACCACACAAGGGUGAUUUCAGGAAAUAUGACCAAGACAUUUGCACGCCAAAAGACAGGAAGUGAUCAACCAGUGUCCCAGUGUUGAAGACAUGAAAGACAGAUAGCCUGCUCUGUUUAGAAGCCUCUCAGAUCAAUGAACAAUUCCACAGGCUCACCGCAAAGCAUCUUGAGGCAAGGUUUAUACAGGACACCCCUAAGCUGCUGUCCUUAUUCCAUUCCAAGGGAGGAGUACUUUCAGACAGAUUGCGGGUCAUGCUGGAUGGAAGCUGAGGGGGGUCAUUUCCUGCAAGACCUUGCGCAACAUGUAAAGCAAAUCUAUGUGAUCAACAAGGAGGGUGCCGUGGCGAGUGAUGGUCCAGAGGAGGUCAGGAACGGUGUCCUCUACCACAGGCCCGCUUGUUGUUGGUGAAGCCGCCUGGGGCACAGAAUCUGUGCUGGGACCAACCUCUGCCUACCGGGGGAUGGUCACCGAGAGGCGGGGCUCGAGCACAUUGCGGUCUGGGACCCCGUCCCUGAUGGGCCCGUGGCGGUCAUCUAGGCUAAAGAGGUUAGAGGGUAAGGAAGACACGUUUAUUCUGCAAGGUGUGUUUUAAAGGGUCACUGCCACAGUAUUUUCCAUUGUGUUUUUGUAUACAAGAGAUACCAAAUAGGUGUUUUUAAUGAAGGAUGUCAUUGUAAAAUGUAAUGUCCAUUUUGUUCCCAUACAGUUGCGGUUUGA